rnacentral:rRNA from 1 species
AGUGUACGCUGGCGGUAGGCCUAACACAUGCCAGUCGAACGGCAGCACAGUAAGAGCUUGCUCUUACGGGUGGCGAGUGGCGGACGGGUGAGGAAUACAUCGGAAUCUACUUUUUCGUGGGGGAUAACGUAGGGAAACUUACGCUAAUACCGCAUACGACCUACGGGUGAAAGCAGGGGAUCUUCGGACCUUGCGCGAUUGAAUGAGCCGAUGUCGGAUUAGCUAGUUGGCGGGGUAAAGGCCCACCAAGGCGACGAUCCGUAGCUGGUCUGAGAGGAUGAUCAGCCACACUGGAACUGAGACACGGUCCAGACUCCUACGGGAGGCAGCAGUGGGGAAUAUUGGACAAUGGGCGCAAGCCUGAUCCAGCCAUACCGCGUGGGUGAAGAAGGCCUUCGAGUUGUAAAGCCCUUUUGUUGGGAAAGAAAAGCAGCAGGUUAAUACCCCGCUGUUCUGACGGUACCCAAAGAAUAAGCACCGGCUAACUUCGUG